rnacentral:rRNA from 1 species
GAUGAACGCUGGCGGCGUGCUUAACACAUGCAAGUCACGGGGGCCCAGCAAUGGGUAACCGGCGAACGGGUGCGCAACACGUGAGCAACCUACCGAAAUGAGGGGGAUAGCCGUCCCAACGGACGGGUAAUACCGCAUAAGCUCUUGUCCAGGCAUUUGGAUUAGAGGAAACCUCCGGGGCAUUUCGAGGGGCUCGCGGCCUAUCAGCUAGUUGGUGAGGUAACGGCUCACCAAGGCGACGACGGGUAGCUGGUCUGAGAGGAUGGCCAGCCACAUUGGGACUGAGAUACGGCCCAGACUCCUACGGGAGGCAGCAGUGGGGAAUCUUGCGCAAUGGCCUAACGGCUGACGCAGCGACGCCGCGUGAGGGAUGACGCUCUUCGGAGUGUAAACCUCUUUUGCCUGAGACGAAUUGCCAGCUUCAGCUGGUUUGACUGUAUCGGGUGAAUAAGCACCGGCUAACUCCGUGCCAGCCGCCGCA